rnacentral:miRNA from 14 species
AGCUGGAAAGGUGACAUAAAAUC